GGAAAGUAGCUCAGUUGGUAGAGCACGUAUAGACGAUUCUUGUAGUUGAAUCUUACAGCAACCAUACAAUUGCAUAUAUGAAAGCACGGUGUCAUUGGUUCGAAUCCAGUCUUUCCCAC
rnacentral:tRNA from 1 species